GACGAACGCUGGCGGCGUGCUUAACACAUGCAAGUCGAACGAAGUGGCGAACGGGUGAGUAACGCGUAAUCAACCUGCCCUUCAGAGGGGGACAACAGUUGGAAAUGACUGCUAAUACCGCAUACUGACGGCGGGGAUUGCGUCUGAUUAGCUAGUUGGAGGGGUAACGGCCCGCCAAGGCGAUGAUCAGUAGCCGGUCUAGGAGGAUCACCGGCCACAUUGGAACUGAGACACGACCCAGAAUCCUACGGGAGGCAGCCGUGGGGAAUCUUCCGCAAUGGACGAAAUUCUGACGGAGCAACGCCGAGUGAGUGAUGACGGCCUUCGGGUUGUAAAGCUCUGUUAAUCGGGACGCGGUACCGGAAUAGAAAGCCACGGCUAACUACGUGCCAGCAGCCGCGGUAAUAC
rnacentral:rRNA from 1 species